rnacentral:rRNA from 1 species
UACGUAGGGGGCAAGCGUUGUCCGGAAUCAUUGGGCGUAAAGCGCGUGUAGGCGGCCUUGUAAGUCCGUUCUGAAAGCCCGGGGCUCAACCCCGGGAGGCGGAUGGAUACUGCAAGGCUCGAGUACGGAAGAGGCGAGUGGAACUCCUGGUGUAGCGGUGGAAUGCGCAGAUAUCAGGAAGAACACCAACGGCGAAGGCAGCUCGCUGGGACGGUACUGACGCUGAGACGCGAAAGCGUGGGGAGCGAACAGG